rnacentral:rRNA from 1 species
UACGGAGGGUGCGAGCGUUGUCCGGAAUCACUGGGCGUAAAGGGCGCGUAGGCGGUCUGCUAAGCGUGCGGUGAAAGCCUGGGGCUCAACCCCAGGUCUGCCGUGCGAACUGGUGGACUUGAGCACUGUAGAGGCAGGUGGAAUUUCGGGUGUAGCGGUGGAAUGCGUAGAGAUCCGAAAGAACACCGGUGGCGAAGGCGGCCUGCUGGGCAGUAGCUGACGCUGAGGCGCGACAGCGUGGGGAGCAAACAGG